AAAGAGAGCGGGAAGCAAAUUAAUAUGCAGAUCCCAUGAGAAGGAGGCACGGAGGGCGUAGACUACACGGCACCCGGUGCGACCGCUGCAAGAUAAAGGCAUACUACUAGCAGAGGCUGAAGAAAAGAUACUGAGCUGACCUUCUCUUGUUUUUCGACCAAUCAUUAUUCGACUAUUAACGGAAGCUGUGGGGAAUCAAACAAGAAAGAUAAAAAAUUCAGCGAACCUCUCCUUGGACCAGCGAAGCCGUAUUCUAUCUACCAUAAAAUAUG